GUCUAGCCUGCUCACUGAUUUUUUAAAGAGCCGCGGUAUUUUGACCGUGCAAAGGUAGCCUAAUCAUUAGUCUCUUAAUUAGAGGCUGGAAUGAAUGGCUUGACAAGAAAUUAACUGUCUCUUAUUAAAUUAUAUAAUUUAACUUUUGAGUUAAAAGGCUUAAAUUUUUCUUUAGGACGAGAAGACCCUAUAGAGCUUGACAUUUAUAGUUAUAUAUAAUUUUAAGUUAGUCUUUUUAUAUUUAAUUCAAAUGUUUUGUUGGGGUGACAUAAAGAAUUAAGAAACUCUUUAUUAUUAAAUCACUAAUUUGUGUUUUUUUUGAUCCAYAAUUUAUGAUC
rnacentral:rRNA from 1 species